rnacentral:rRNA from 1 species
UACAGGGGGUGCAAACGUUGCUCGGAAUCAUUGGGCGUAAAGCGCACGUAGGCGGUUCGUUAUGUCGGAUGUGAAAGCCCUUGGCUUAACCGAGGAAGUGCAUCCGAAACUGGCGAGCUAGAGUACGAAAGAGGAUCGCGGAAUUCCCGGUGUAGAGGUGAAAUUCGUAGAUAUCGGGAGGAACACCGGUGGCGAAGGCGGCGAUCUGGUCCUUGACUGACGCUGAGGCGCGAAAGCGUGGGGAUCAAACAGG